rnacentral:rRNA from 1 species
UGAGUAACACGUGGGGAAUCUGCCUAUAAGUGGGGGAUAACAUUCGGAAACGGAUGCUAAUACCGCAUAUAUUCGAAAACCGCAUGGUUUCUGAAAGAAAGACGGCUUUGCUGUCGCUUAUAGAUGAUCCCGCGGCGUAUUAGUUAGUUGGUGGGGUAACGGCCUACCAAGACCAUGAUACGUAGCCGACCUGAGAGGGUGAUCGGCCACACUGGGACUGAGACACGGCCCAGACUCCUACGGGAGGCAGCAGUAGGGAAUCUUCCACAAUGGGUGCAAACCUGAUGGAGCAAUGCCGCGUGAAUGAAGAAGGUCUUCGGAUCGUAAAGUUCUGUUAUUAGAGAAGAACAAGUCAAGGAGUAACUGUCUUGACUUUGACGGUACCUAACCAGAAAGUCACGGCUAACUACGUGCCAGCAGCCGCGGUAAUACGUAGGUGACAAGCGUUGUCCGGAAUUAUUGGGCGUAAAGGGAGCGCAGGCGGUUGGAAUAGUCUGAUGUGAA